rnacentral:pre_miRNA from 1 species
UAUUAAAAUUUUUUAUCUAUUUAUAUUAUUAAAAUUUAAUAUGGUUGAAAAAAUAAUUAAAUAAUGGCACGUGACAUGCCUUAUAAGCCUCAUGCUGACAAUCGGGGACCAAUUUUUAAUAAUGGAAAUUGAUGAAAAUUUUAACA